rnacentral:rRNA from 1 species
GGCUAAACAUAUUACCGAAGCUGUGGAUUGUCCUUUGGACAAUGGUAGGAGAGCGUUCUAAGGGCGUCGAAGCAUGAUCGCAAGGACAUGUGGAGCGCUUAGAAGUGAGAAUGCCGGUGUGAGUAGCGAAAGACGGGUGAGAAUCCCGUCCACCGAUUGACUAAGGUUUCCAGAGGAAGGCUCGUCCGCUCUGGGUUAGUCGGGUCCUAAGCUGAGGCCGACAGGCGUAGGCGAUGGAUAACAGGUUGAUAUUCCUGUACCACCUAGUAUCGUUUUAAUCGAUGGGGGGACGCAGUAGGAUAGGCGAAGCGUGCUGUUGGAGUGCACGUCCAAGCAGUAAGGCUGAGUGUUAGGCAAAUCCGGCACUCAUAAGGCUGAGCUGUGAUGGGGAGAGGAAAUUGUUUCCUCGAGUCGUUGAUUUCACACUGCCGAGAAAAGCCUCUAGAUAGAUAACAGGUGCCCGUACCGCAAACCGACACAGGUAGUCAAGAUGAGAAUUCUAAGG